GUUUGAUCCUGGCUCAGGAUGAACGCUGGCGGUCUGCUUAACACAUGCAAGUCGAACGGAGUGCUUCGGCACUUAGUGGCGGACGGGUGAGUAACGCGUGAGAAUCUGCCCUUAGGACGGGGACAACAGCUGGAAACGGCUGCUAAUACCCGAUGUGCCGAGAGGUGAAACAUUUUAUGGCCUGAGGAUGAGCUCGCGUCUGAUUAGCUAGUUGGUGGGGUAAGGGCCUACCAAGGCGACGAUCAGUAGCUGGUCUGAGAGGAUGAUCAGCCACACUGGGACUGAGACACGGCCCAGACUCCUACGGGAGGCAGCAGUGGGGAAUUUUCCGCAAUGGGCGCAAGCCUGACGGAGCAAGACCGCGUGCGGGAGGACGGCCUAUUGGUUGUAAACCGCUUUUGAUAGGGAAGAAGCACUGACGGUACCUAUCGAAUCUGCAUCGGCUAACUCCGUGCCAGCAGCCGCGGUAAUACGGAGGAUGCAAGCGUUAUCCGGAAUUAUUGGGCGUAAAGCGUCCGUAGGUGGUUGUUCAAGUCUGCUGUUAAAGCGUGCGGCUUAACCGCAUACCAGCAGUGGAAACUGGGCGACUAGAGUGCGGUAGGGGUCAGGGGAAUUCCCAGUGUAGCGGUGAAAUGCGUAGAUAUUGGGAAGAACACCGGUGGCGAAAGCGCCUGACUGGACCUGCACUGACACUGAGGGACGAAAGCUAGGGGAGCGAAAGGGAUUAGAUACCCCAGUAGUCCUAGCCGUAAACGAUGGAUACUAGGCGUUGAGAGUAUCGACCCUCUCAGUGCCGUAGCUAACGCGUUAAGUAUCCCGCCUGGGGAGUACGCACGCAAGUGUGAAACUCAAAGGAAUUGACGGGGGCCCGCACAAGCGGUGGAGUAUGUGGUUUAAUUCGAUGCAACGCGAGAACCUUACCAGGGCUUGACAUGUCUGGGACUUCG
rnacentral:rRNA from 1 species